rnacentral:rRNA from 1 species
UGGUAAUGCCGGAUGCUCCGGUUGGAUGCAUGUCCUUCCGGGAAAGGUUCCAUCGGUAUGGGAUGGGGUCGCGUCCUAUCAGCUUGAUGGCGGGGUAACGGCCCACCAUGGCUUCGACGGGUAGCCGGCCUGAGAGGGCGACCGGCCACAUUGGGACUGAGAUACGGCCCAGACUCCUACGGGAGGCAGCAGUGGGGAAUAUUGCACAAUGGGCGCAAGCCUGAUGCAGCGACGCCGCGUGCGGGAUGGAGGCCUUCGGGUUGUAAACCGCUUUUGAUCGGGAGCAAGCCCUUCGGGGUGAGUGUACCUUUCGAAUAAGCACCGGCUAACUACGUGCCAGCAGCCGCGGUAAUACGUAGGGUGCAAGCGUUAUCCGGAAUUAUUGGGCGUAAAGGGCUCGUAGGCGGUUCGUCGCGUCCGGUGUGAAAGCCCAUCGCUUAACGGUGGGUCUGCGCCGGGUACGGGCGGGCUGGAGUGCGGUAGGGGAGACUGGAAUUCCCGGUGUAACGGUGGAAUGUGUAGAUAUCGGAAAAGAAACACCA